UACGUAGGGUGCAAGCGUUAAUCGGAAUUACUGGGCGUAAAGCGUGCGCAGGCGGUUCGGAAAGAAAGAUGUGAAAUCCCAGGGCUUAACCUUGGAACUGCAUUUUUAACUGCCGGGCUAGAGUAUGUCAGAGGGGGGUAGAAUUCCACGUGUAGCAGUGAAAUGCGUAGAGAUGUGGAGGAAUACCGAUGGCGAAGGCAGCCCCCUGGGACAACACUGACGCUCAUGCACGAAAGCGUGGGGAGCAAACAGG
rnacentral:rRNA from 1 species